UGAACGUCGAACGGAAUCCUUAGGGAUUUAGUGGCGGACGGGUGAGUAACACGUAAGAACCUGCCUCUAGGACGGGGACAACAGUUGGAAACGACUGCUAAACCCGGAUGAGCCGAAAGGUAAAAGAUUAAUCGCCUAGAGAGGGGCUUGCGUCUGAUUAGCUAGUUGGUGAGGUAAGAGCCCACCAAGGCGACGAUCAGUAGCUGGUCUGAGAGGAUGAUCAGCCACACUGGGACUGAGACACGGCCCAGACUCCUACGGGAGGCAGCAGUGGGGAAUUUUCCGCAAUGGGCGAAAGCCUGACGGAGCAAGACCGCGUGGGGGAGGAAGGUUCUUGGAUUGUCAACCCCUUUUCUCAGGGAAGAACACAAUGACGGUACCUGAGGAAAAAGCAUCGGCUAACUCCGUGCCAGCAGCCGCGGUAAUACGGGGGAUGCAAGCGUUAUCCGGAAUGAUUGGGCGUAAAGAGUCCGUAGGUAGUCAUCCAAGUCUGCUGUUAAAGAGCGAGGCUUAACCUCGUAAAGGCAGUGGAAACUGGAAGACUAGAGUGUAGUAGGGGCAGAGGGAAUUCCUGGUGUAGCGGUGAAAUGCGUAGAGAUCAGGAAGAACACCGGUGGCGAAGGCGCUCUGCUGGGCUAUAACUGACACUGAGGGACGAAAGCUAGGGGAGCGAAUGGGAUUAGAUACCCCAGUAGUCCUAGCGGUAAACGAUGGAAACUAGGUGUGGCCUGUAUCGACCCGGGCCGUGCCGAAGCAAACGCGUUAAGUUUCCCGCCUGGGGAGUACGCACGCAAGUGUGAAACUCAAAGGAAUUGACGGGGGCCCGCACAAGCGGUGGAGUAUGUGGUUUAAUUCGAUGCAACGCGAAGAACCUUACCAGGACUUGACAUCUCUGGAAUCUCCUUGAAAGGGGAGAGUGCCGUAAGGAACCGGAAGACAGGUGCUGCAUGGCUGUCGUCAGCUCGUGUCGUGAGAUGUUGGGUUAAGUCCCGCAACGAGCGCAACCCUCGUCGUUAGUUGCCAUCAUUAAGUUGGGAACUCUAGCGAGACUGCCGGUGACAAACCGGAGGAAGGUGAGGAUGACGUCAAGUCAGCAUGGCCCUUACGUCCUGGGCGACACACGUACUACAAUGCGAGGGACACAGAGCAGCCAACCCGCGAGGGAGAGCGAAUCUCACAAACCCUGGCACAGUUCAGAUUGCAGGCUGCAACUCGCCUGCAUGAAGGAGGAAUCGCUAGUAAUCGCAGGUCAGCAUACUGCGGUGAAUCCGUUCCCGGGCCUUGUACACACCGCCCGUCACACCAUGGAAGUGAGCCACGCCCGAAGUCAUUACUCUAACCCUUUCGGGGGAGGAGGGUGCCGAAGGCGGGGUUGAUGACUGGGGU
rnacentral:rRNA from 2 species